GACGAACGCUGGCGGCGUGCUUAACACAUGCAAGUCGAACGGAAAGGCCCUGCUUUUGUGGGGUGCUAGAGUGGCGAACGGGUGAGUAACCCGUGAGUAACCUGCCCUUGACUUUGGGAUAACCUCAGGAAACUGGGGCUAAUACCGGAUAGGAGCUCCUGCUGCAGGGUGGGGGUUGGAUAGUUUCGGCGGUUGGAGAUGGACUCGCGGCUUAUCAGCUUGUUGGUGGGGUAGUGGCUUACCAAAGCUUUGACGGGUGGCCGACCUGAGAGGGUGACCGGCGACGUGAGGACUGAGAUACGGACCAGACUCCAAUGUGGGGCAGCAGUGGGGAAUAUUGCACAAUGGGCGGAAGCCUAAUGCAACAACGCCGCGUUCGGGAUGACGGCCUUCGGGUUGGGAACCGCAUUCGCUUGUGACGAAGCGUUAGUGACGGUAAUGGGAGAAGAAGCACCGGCUAACUACGUG
rnacentral:rRNA from 1 species